rnacentral:lncRNA from 1 species
GCUAUUUCUUGGGCCUCUCCUGCGGCAUAUGGAGGUUGCCAGGCUAGGCGUCCAAUCGCAGCCGUAGCCACCGGCCUAUGCCAGAGCCACAGCAACGCGGGAUCCGAGCCGCGUCUGCAACCUACGCCAGCCACAGCUCACGGCAACAACAACGGAUCGUUAACCCACUGAACAAGGGCAGGGACCGAACCCGAAACCUCAUGGUUCCUAGCCGGAUUCGUUAACCACUGCGGCACGAUGGGAACUCCUGUUUUUUUUUAUAUAUGUCUAAUAUUUCUCACCGAUUACAAAUCUACAACCCAAGAGCAAUAAAAUGUAUACUACUAGAGCAAAAACAUGAUUUUAAAAUAAACAUCCUUUCCUAAAAAUUUGCAUCUUUUUCUCAUCCAUGCCACUCAACUGCUAGUGAAAAUUUAGGUGGGAUUAUCACCUUUAGCUAAGUGCUUUGGUAUACCAAACAUUAGCUAGCUAAUAUGAUACUAAACAGACAAUGAAACAUGACCUGAUUCUACAUUACAAACAUAUAUGUAUCCAUUAUUUUUCUUAUGUUUCCAUGGAGCUUUUACAGUGGUAAAAAAGUGUGUUCCCUUGAUAAGCAGCUUCUUCAGAUAUAGAAAAAAAUAGGUGAAAAGUACCACAUUUGAUACAGUGAUAGAGUGAGCCUGCUAUGUAAUUGUCAAGAGUGACUGUAAGUAUAAUUACUACUGAGGUUGUAAAAAAAAAACAAAAAAACAAAAAAACAAAAAAAACCCUACAUCUUUCCGUUUUUUUAAAUUUCAGAGCAAAAGAUACUUAUUUCUCUCAUGUUAUUCAUCAUCACUUUGUCUUCAGUCUUUUAUAAACAGAACAUCAGAAACAGAUAUAUUGAAAAAUAGAUUUAAGAUCACCAAAGACCAUAACUUUCAUUUCUAACAGAUCAACAUAAAUAGUUACUAAUAAAGUUUUUAGAGACAGAUGAUAAUCUUCAACAUAAAAUCUUCCAUGAUAACCUAUGUAAAUGUUCCCACUUUCCUGACGAAAAAAAGUAAUAUAACUAAAAUAUCCAUGCCACAUUACCUAUCAUACUGAUUUCCAAGUUCCAAAUGAUUCAAGAUAGUCAUACAAAAACGAAAUGCCUUUACUAAAUAUUUUCCUACCAUUAUUCUUUCAAAAUUGUAACAGUUAAUUCAUUUGAUGAGAAGUUAAAAUAGACUGCCUACCACAUUUGCCAAAUUCAUGGCUGAGAUAAAGAUUACAAAAACACCUAGAAGAUGAAAGGUUUCAAAGUAGUAUAACUAUUAUCUUUCAAUAGAUUAUCAAAGAUGUCACCAGAAAGUCAAAGACUUUACAAACAACAUAUUUACCAAAAUACUAACAUAUUAUAAAAGGUGUGCGUGGGUAGAUAAUAUUUUCCUCUAACCUCUGUAAAACAGAUUUAGAUUAAAUACUGAAAACCACUAUUAUGAAGCAUGGAGAGGAAACAAGCCCUCUAACUUUAAGAAAACCACAAAUUAUAACUCACAAAACCAAUUUUAAGUGUGGCCUCAAUUCAAUUUUCUUAACUACUUAAGAAUAAUUUUACGUAUAGCAAAGCUUCAAUACUUGGAAGUUCUACAAGACAAAACUAUGCAACACAGUUUCAUUUUUCUAGGUCUGUGUGUGUGCACACACGUGAGCACACACACACACAAAUCACCUGCAAUGUUAAGACCACAAAUAUUAAGUUGUUUGUAAUAAAAUCACAAACUGAAGUCCCCUUUCUCUGAUUCUUCUCCAUGUUUGCAGGCUCAAACAUAGUAGCCAAUACUUACACCAAUAACUUUUCAAGUAAAAGCCUCAGUUAUUUGACUUCAAAUACUCAUUUAUCACCAAAUCCUACUGUCCUCUGCUACCACUUCUCCCAAAUCUGCAACUCCCUUUCCAUUCCGUCAUCUACAUCUUUAUUCCUGACCCUAGAGUUUCCCCCCUAAACUACAGUACCUCAUUCUUACGAGAUAGUUUCCCUAGACUGUCCUUCAUUCUACUACCAAAAUGACCUACUCUCCCUGACAUUCUGCUCAUACCACCUACCUAUCCCUACCUGGGCAUUCCAGGGCUUUUGCAUUACAUUUUUAUUCUCUCAAGAAUCUUAACCUCACCAACAUACUCACUUAUAAGGUUGCCACUGAUUUUUAAUUCCCCUUGAAAAUGUCAGUUUCUUCUUACCUCCUAUAAAGGUACCAAAUUCUCCCUUCAGGUAACCACAUUUGCUCCUAUUCCAACUGAGUGUGGAAUACUUUUUAUAUUUAGCUCUCAAUUGCACAAGUAAUUUAUUUAGAAAAUUUUAGCACAGUGAUUGCAUACACUGUUUCCUUAAGCUAUUUGCAUACCAAUGUUAUCCCUAGUGAGCUGCAGAGAUACAGAGGUACAUCUGCAUCUUUCAAAAUAUUCUGUACAACAACUAUCUACAAUGUCACUUGACCCAGGUAAGAUGAUUCCCUAAAUAAAACUAUUACAGAAAGCUUAAGUAAACAAACAAUUUUAAAUCUCUAUGGUUUAACUUUAAAAUACUAUGACCUUUCAUUCCCAUGGGUAGCUGACAUACUUGGUUCUAUUAAGCUUGACUCUCACUACUCUACUAAUUUUCAAAGCAUAGCCAAAGUUUAAAGUGCAAGUUGAGGGUUGAUAUAGGAUAUAAACUUUUACAUCCUGCUAUGAGAUUCUCUGAAAAUCAUCCAUGUCAACUCCAAGACUCCUGAGAUAUAACUGAAUCUUUGCACAAGACAACCGCUUCAGCAACAAAAGAAGAGAACAGCGCAUCUUCUGAUGGGGGGGGGGGGGCCCCAUUCCCUUCAAUUAGGUUGACCAGUUUCUCUAUUGCAGGGCCUUUCGAUUAGGGAAAUUCAAUAACAUUAACCAUUAACAAUUGGAAAGAACAUCAUUUACUUAAAGGACAGGAAGGGGUACCUCGGAAAUCUUUUUCAUAAAACUCAGCAGUCAAAUUAAACUCUGCAUUCUCUAUCUUACCAGCUAUGUUUUCUACCUAAUAAUAAAAGCAAGUCACAUUCAAUUUAGUCCCUUCUCGAGCACCGUUUCAACCUGUCAGAAUCUGACAAGGGGAAAAAAAUUUUUUAAGUGUGUGUGUGUGUGUGUGUGUGUGUGUGUGUGUGCGCGCGCGCGCGCGCGCCCGCGUGGCUGGGCAAGGGGGAAGAAUACUAGGAUUCCCGUCUACACGGUUUCUUUUUCCGAAAUCACAUCAGUUAAGUCUUGGAUUUCCUUCACUCCGAACUAAGCCCUCAGGUUCCAAAUAUAGUUAUUUAACCCCCACCUCGCCACUCAAUUACAUAUAAACCUUGCCAAGAGAACCACAGCAGAAACCCCUACAAAUCGGCUUGCUAUUCAUCUCGGGAGUCAUGCCCUGCAGCAACUGCCUGUCGCCGUACUGAGGGAUAUUACCCAAACACAACGCAACAGAAUCAGACAUGCAGAGCACACACGGCUUCCGUGAGGGAGGGAAACGCGACCGGGGAAAAGUGCGCUUCUUCACAAGCCUCUGGACCAUCCGGAGGGGGGCGGGGGGGGGUGGUUCCCAGAAGGAGGGGGACAGAGGAGCCAGAGUCGGGGACUCCUUCCCUCUCAAGUAAAAGGGCUGAUUCCCGGCCGCAGGCUACAACGGGUCCCUCCAAAGAAACGAAGAAGCGGGCAGAGGGCCCUUUGCUCAGGAAGGCGGAAUGCAGACACUUUCCAAGGUCCGGGUGCUAGCGGAUCCCUACCUCCCAGGGGAGACGAGGGGUGUCCCAUGGGUGGCUGAGGGGAUGUCCGGCUCGCGAGGGGCAGUCUGAGGCGAAGCAGAGUUUCGUCUAGUGAACACCCAUGUCGUGUCCGGUCGGUGCCCGGCCAAAGCACGGCUAGAGCGGCGCCGGGCCGCCUAGGUGGGGGGAAGGGAGAGGAGGGAGGGGGUGGAAAUGGGAUUCCCCCCUCUCUGCGACCAGCUUUAGCGAAGAAAGCGCGCGAGCCAGCGAGAGCGGCGUGCUUCAGACUGCGGAGCCGGGAUCCGGCCGCCUGCACCGGCAGCACGGAGCCCCGCAGCGCCCGCCGCACCGGCCCUUCUGUCCCCAGGGGCCGGGGACUUCGGCUGAGAAGGCACUGGGGCCUGACACCCCACGGGGUUGGCCGCAGCUCCCGGGGGGGCCCCGCGGGAACACCCCAACCUCAAGCAAUUCUCAACGGUUGUAAAACGCGCCCCCCCACGACCCCCUCCUCACCCUUCCCUCCUCCCGAGGCCUUAGAGAAGGGUCAUCACAGGCGAGAAGCCUUAGGUAAGCCGGAGACAGUGACCGCGGCGGUCCUGGACGCCCUCCCCUGGUUACCUGUGAGGACUCCGACCCGGAUUUGAUGGUCGUGGUUAGUGAGGAUCAUUCCCUCGGUCGCCAUGUUUCCCAGCGCAGUCACCG